GAGGCAUAAAGGGUGAGGAGGUGAGAGGGAAGGACAGAUUUUUCUGGUUCUCAAAUGUCUCUGGAAGUUCCUCAGGGUUUCCUCCUGCCUCAGCACUUACCAUGUGUAGCCUCUAGUCGUUUCUUGGACACUGUGCUUUCCCGUUUGUAACUCAGGUUUGAUCAGGCAGUUGGUGAAGACCGUCCCUCUAUGGGUGUCCCUAGUAGUGUGGGGACAUGUUCCCUACUCAGCGCAUCCUGUCUGUGCCUGGAGAUCCCUAAGUGGGGCCUAGUGUGGGUUGAAUCUAAGUAGUUAACAGGGUUGCGCAUUUGCAGGGGCAGCAUCUUUCCAGUGAGUGAUGUGUUAAAUUCCCAUGUCUUUGUGCAGUGAAGCAGGACUAAGAAUGGAUUUCUGGACUUUUUGGAAGUUUACCCCUUUCUGAAUUGCUUCUGUAAGUGGCAGUGCCAUUUAGGAUGUACUGCAUAAGUUUUUGGCUGGGAUUUUAGGACUGAAAUACAUGUAGGUGGCCAUCAAAUCAGGGUUUCAUUGUAUCACAUUAAAUAAACAUGAUAAGUUAGCCAGGUGUAGUGACUACUGGGGCCUAUAGUCCCAGCUGCUUGGGAGGCCAAGGUGGGAGGAUCACUUGAGCCCGGGAGGUUGAGGCUGCAGUGAGCCAUGAUCUCGCCAUUGCAUUCCAGCCUGGGCGACAGAAAAAGACCCUGUCUCAUAAAUAGAUAAAUAAGAACAUGAUGAUUUUUAAAAAGUCAUAAACCCAGACAAAGCCAGAGUAAAGAAGAAAAAAAAAACAAAUCUUUAAAGAUUCAGGCUGGGCGUGGUGGCUCAUGCCUAUAAUCCCAGUACUUUGGGAGGCCAAGGUGGGAGGAUCACUUGAGCCCAGGAGUUCCAGACCAGCCUGGCAACAUAGCGAAACCCCAUCUCUACAAAAAAUACAAAAACUAGCUGGGUGUGGGGGUGAGUGUCUGUAGUCUCAGCUACUCAGGAGGCUGAGGUAAGAGGGAGGAUCACUUGAAGCCUGAGAAUUUGAGGCUGCAGUGAGCCAUGACUGUGCUACUGUGUUCCAGCCUAGGCAACAGAGUGAGACCUUGUCUCAAAAAAAAAUUCAGUUUUCUGGCUUAUCAGUAUGUUGAUACUCUCUCUUAUCUGUUAAUUUUUCUUCAAUAAUUAUUUUGAUAUUAAAAAUGAUAUUUUUAUAGUAUCCCUAGUGUCUGGUACAUACUAGACACUCAGAUAUAUUAAAUGAAUAAAUGGAUAAUACACUAAGCCAAUUAUUUAAU
rnacentral:lncRNA from 10 species